rnacentral:rRNA from 1 species
UACAGAGACUGCGAGCGUUAUUCGGAUUCACUGGGCGUAAAGGGUGCGCAGGCGGCCGAGUGUGUGAGGCGUGAAAGCCCGGGGCUUAACCCCGGAAUUGCACCUCAAACUACACGGCUAGAGCAUUGGAGAGGGUAGCGGAAUUCACGGUGUAGCAGUGAAAUGCGUAGAUAUCGUGAGGAACACCAGAGGCGAAGGCGGCUACCUGGACAAUUGCUGACGCUCAGGCACGAAAGCGUGGGGAGCAAACGGG